CAGUAGCCGCGGUAAUACGAAGGGGGCUAGCGUUGUUCGGAUUUACUGGGCGUAAAGCGCACGUAGGCGGACUUUUAAGUCAGGGGUGAAAUCCCGGGGCUCAACCCCGGAACUGCCUUUGAUACUGGAAGUCUUGAGUAUGGUAGAGGUGAGUGGAAUUCCGAGUGUAGAGGUGAAAUUCGUAGAUAUUCGGAGGAACACCAGUGGCGAAGGAGGCUCACUGGACCAUUACUGACGCUGAGGUGCGAAAGCGUGGGGAGCAAACAGGAUUAGAUACCCCAGUAGUCCCUGUCUCUUAUAC
rnacentral:rRNA from 1 species